AAACAGAGAAUGAACCCAAUUCUCCAGAAACUGGCUCUUUAGCUAUGGGUGGAAAUGCCAUUUCAGAUCAAAAGGAAAGUAUUUUAUUUUGUCUCAUCGGACUCUCUGAAACAUACAAGAAUAUGGGGUAAUUUGAUGCGCACAAUAUUGAAACUGGAAGAUCCUCAAAUAGGAGAUGAGAUAAAAAGUACAGUAGUCUUCAGAAAUAUAGUCCCCAGAAGAGUGAAGCUAUGAAGCUGUUUUCCCGAAUACCAAAACUCCCUCAAGUUGUAUAAGAUUUAGUCACUGACUACAACUUCAGACAAUCUUUAUGUGGUCUUUAUGAGAAAUGACAACGAAUACCCGUACAGGUUUUCAUCAUUCGCAUGUAGGGAACCCUGUUAGAGAAAUCUGGCGGAGGAUGAGUACUCUGCUUUUUGGAGCGUCUUUACACCCUAACGUCUGAGGAGACGCCAUGCUUCCUCUCAGAGCUUCUUUAAAUCUCAUAAUGAAGAAACAACUUGAGCUGAAGUCAACACAUUUUUCUCCUUGGUAAUAUUUUUGACUUCUGGGUUAUCUUGGGCUUAUGUUUCAUUGCUCUAGUGUUCUUCGCCUAACGAUCCAGUUAAAUUCAUUCCCCUACGGCAGCUAUUCCCAGUCUUUUUCACAUCAAGUCCCAUAUAAAACGGCUGUAUUUGUACAGCACGUCAGCGUAAACCGAAGAGGAUUUUGGCGGUUUCUAAAUGGGGCUUGGUGAAAAAAAUAUUGUAUUUUCUUUCCCUUAUACAGAUGUGUUAAGAAAAGCAAAACACAAAUGCUAGGGGGAAUAUUACAAAUUGAAUUUGUACACAACUUCAAAAUAAAAUGUUUUCAUAUUUUAAAAGAAACUGGAAC
rnacentral:lncRNA from 1 species